GCCUGAUCCAGCCAUGCCGCGUGUGUGAAGAAGGUCUUCGGAUUGUAAAGCACUUUAAGUUGGGAGGAAGGGCAGUAAGUUAAUACCUUGCUGUUUUGACGUUACCGACAGAAUAAGCACCGGCUAACUCUGUUGCCAGCAGCCGCGGUAAUACAGAGGGUGCAAGCGUUAAUCGGAAUUACUGGGCGUAAAGCGCGCGUAGGUGGUUCGUUAAGUUGGAUGUGAAAGCCCCGGGCUCAACCUGGGAACUGCAUCCAAAACUGGCGAGCUAGAGUACGGUAGAGGGUGGUGGAAUUUCCUGUGUAGCGGUGAAAUGCGUAGAUAUAGGAAGGAACACCAGUGGCGAAGGCGACCACCUGGACUGAUACUGACACUGAGGUGCGAAAGCGUGGGGAGCAAACAGGAUUAGAUACCCU
rnacentral:rRNA from 1 species